rnacentral:tRNA from 1 species
GCCGUCUUAGCUCAGUUGGUAGAGCAGGGAUUUUGUAAGUCCAAGGUCACGGGUUCGAAUCCUGUAGACGGCACCA